AGUGAACGCUGGCGGUAGGCCUAACACAUGCAAGUCGAACGGCAACACAGUAAGAGCUUGCUCUUACGGGUGGCGAGUGGCGGACGGGUGAGGAAUACAUCGGAAUCUACUUUUUCGUGGGGGAUAACGUAGGGAAACUUACGCUAAUACCGCAUACGACCUACGGGUUAAAGCAGUGGAUCUUCGCACCUUUCGCGACUGAAUGAGCCGAUGUCGGAUUAGCUAGUUGGCAGGGUAAAGGCCCACCAAGGCGACGAUACGUAGCUGGUCUGAGAGGAUGAUCAGCCACACUGGAACUGAGACACGGUCCAGACUCCUACGGGAGGCAGCAGUGGGGAAUAUUCGACAAUGGGCGCAAGCCUGAUCCAGCCAUACCGCGUGGGUGAAGAAGGUCUUCGGGUCGUAAAGCCCUGUUGUUGGGAAAGAAAAGCAGUAGGUUAAUCUCUCGCUGUUCUGACGGUACCCAAAGAAUAAGCACCGGCUAACCUCGUG
rnacentral:rRNA from 1 species